AUUGAACGCUGGCGGCAGGCCUAACACAUGCAAGUCGAACGAGUGGCGGCCGGGUGAGUAAUGUCUGGGAAACUGCCCGAUGGAGGGGGAUAACUACUGGAAACGGUAGCUAAUACCGCAUACCAUCGGAUGUGCCCAGAUGGGAUUAGCUUGUAGGUGAGGUAACGGCUCACCUAGGCGACGAUCCAUAGCUGGUCUGAGAGGAUGACCAGCCACACUGUAACGGAGAACCGGGCCAGACUCCUACGGGAGGCAGCAGUGGGAAAUAUUGCACAAUGGGCUGAAGCCUGAUGCAGCCAUGCCGCGUGUAUUAGGAGGGCUUGCGGGUUGUAGAGUACUUUCAGCGGGUGGGCGGUACCCACAGAAUAAGCACCGGCUAACGCCAUGCCAGCAGCCGCGGUAAUAC
rnacentral:rRNA from 1 species